UGCGGAGGAUCCAAGCGUUAUCCGGAAUCAUUGGGUUUAAAGGGUCCGUAGGCGGUUUGGUAAGUCAGUGGUGAAAGCCCAUCGCUCAACGGUGGAACGGCCAUUGAUACUGCCAGACUUGAAUUAUUAGGAAGUAACUAGAAUAUGUAGUGUAGCGGUGAAAUGCUUAGAGAUUACAUGGAAUACCAAUUGCGAAGGCAGGUUACUACUAAUGGAUUGACGCUGAUGGACGAAAGCGUGGGUAGCGAACAGG
rnacentral:rRNA from 1 species